rnacentral:lncRNA from 1 species
UGUCACAAAACAUAAUGUCCAAUUUUAAUUUGGGUUUCAAAAACAUCACUAGCCUUACUACAUUGCUAAUAACCCCAGUCAUUAACCCCUUACAAUGAUUUGGGGUUCAAAAGGAAAACACAUGACAAACCCAUACUAGAUAAUCACAUCAUUGUCUUCUAAUGAUAACUCCUAACUAAUUGAACUUCACAAAAGUAGGAGAUGACUUCCAACCAAUUGAACUUCACAAAAAUUCCUACUUCCACUAAAGUUGCCACAUAUUCAUGCCCGUCAAAGCUCUUGACUUUCAAUUUCAUCACCAAAAAGAAAACUAUCACAAGGAAGCCAGUUUGGAUGCACUAUGGCCGGAAUAUCUCUUGAAGGCCUUCAAAUUCAUCAAUGCAAGUUUGUCUAGCUUCAUUGGAUGCAUCCACAAAUAGUUCAAUUGCUCAGCUUCUCUUAGCUUGAUUGGAUAUUAUCUAAGUCGAGGCAAAGGCAAAAAUCCCAUUUAAACAAAAAAUCAAAUGGACACACAUGAAAAUUCGACAUAGUUAAUGAAUGAGUGAACUACUUACCUCAAUCUUGAUCCCCUCUUUCAUUUAAUCACAUACUUCCAUGUAUUUCAUCACAAACAUGGCAGAGUCCCACCUACCAAUGUUCGUGUGCAGCCAAAAAAGAUUAUAUAACAAUUCACAGAUUAAAAAACCAGGUUUAAACUAUUCAGCCGGACAUAAACAUAAACAAAUUACUUGUUGAUUUGCCUUGGGCACCAACUGGGACUCGAGUACUCAAAGUCAUUGAAGUCAAAUUUGAAUUUUCCCUAUAUCUCGUAUAUAGUGCACCACUAAUUUUUGAACACUACAAAAGAUGACAAUACCAGUAGCUCUGAAUCAUUUUAAACUCUUCAUUCUACGCUAAUCAAAUAUCAUACAUUGAUGAAAUAUAUCAUGUAAGAGUUUUCAUUUCUUGCCACCAUCUUUGCAUUCAUCAACCACAAUUCAUUGAAAUCUUCGUCAGGGUAUGGGUCGAAUAUCAUAACCUUAUUCUCCUUCAAGUAAAUGACUGCCAAAUACCAGUCUUUUCCAUCCCAAUUCAGUGGUAUACAAAUCUACAAAUAUCAACAAUGAAUGAAAUUACUAAUCCCAUAUUUUUAAUACCUCUAUUCAUUAAUAACUAAUGAGACUUCUUACCUUCUCACACUCCAUAAUCAAGCCGCCAAAUUUGUCCUCAGUUAGGUAAUAGAUAUACAACUCAUCUUAUUUUUUGUCACCAUUUCCUUCAACAAACAAUUGCAAAUAUUAGCCCAAAGCCAAAAUCACACGAGGUGCUGACUCAUUCUACCAAGCAAUGAACCCUACGGAAAUGAUCAUUGAGCUCAAUUUAUGUUCUUAAGAGACUUACCGCUGACCAACUCGGCAUGUACCACCCGCGAUAUGAUGCAUUCCCAGAAUUUCUCCUUGCACGUGUCGUGAGAAAAGCAGAGUAACAAUUAACAAUCUAAAGGAACACAUUGUCAGUAUACUAAUUUUUCACAAUUAAUAUUUUGUGUUAAAUAUACUUAAUUACGUGAGAUUUACCUCAGCUUCGACACACAUACAAGGCAACAAACAAAGAAUAUGCUCUC